rnacentral:rRNA from 1 species
UACGUAGGGGGCAAGCGUUGUCCGGAUUUAUUGGGCGUAAAGAGCGUGUAGGCGGCCAAGCAGGUCAGCUGUGAAAACUCGAGGCUCAACCUCGAGACGUCGGUUGAAACCGUUUGGCUAGAGUCCGGAAGAGGAGAGUGGAAUUCCCGGUGUAGCGGUGAAAUGCGCAGAUAUCGGGAAGAACACCCGUGGCGAAGGCGGCUCUCUGGGACGGUACCGACGCUGAGACGCGAAAGCGUGGGGAGCGAACAGG